GACCCACGGGACACUACCGGCGACCAAGGUACCUCAAAUCCUUCCGGGAGCUGUCACAAGGUCAAGGGGAGCUGCACGCAAUCUCAGGAUCAAGUGCAAUGCCUUCGCGGAAGAGUUCAUCCAAGUACACGACCCACGGCCAUACGGCCCCAUUGGACUCGACCAUCCGGACGAUCAUGAGCUUGUCCGGACCGUCUUCACCAUCACUAGGUGAAGGCAUCAAAGUCACUAGUUGGACGUGGUACUCUUUUUCCCUACUUGGGUUUAUCCCACGUGGUUUACCAAGAGGGUUUUAACGAGGCCAACGUACGCUAGCGCAUGACCACGCAUCUCCGCAUGACGUGGCCAUCUCUCCUUCCUUUCGUAAUAAAGCCGUUAGGCUCUUCUUGUCUUAUGGUUUGUAUUUUGACACGUCUAUCCUUGUUGACCCGCGCUUUGACUGUUUGCUUUAGGGUUUUAUGAGUCUCCCUUGUAAACGCCUAUAUAAAGGCCCUCUAAGUCACUUGUAAGGGUUAGCUUCUUUUGAAAUAAAAAUCAGUCUUUUCCUUUUCUCAUUUGUUGCGAAAACAUUGAGAGCUCCUUAGAGUCUUUGAAUCGGAUUCAAAGCCUCUAAGUGUAACCGUAUCACGAGCCCACCAUCCCUCGUGUGUCGUUACCUCGUUCCGCCUUCACACCCCUCUUCUCCAAGUCACCACCGGUUCGAGAUAGUCACCGGUUGUCGCUACCCACCCUUGCAAAUCAUCUCUUUGGAGUCUAGGCGAUUCGAGCUACUCAUCGUCAACCUCCCUCGCCGUCCCGUAACCGCCGUAACCGAAGGCCCUGUCCGUACCGAUCGCCGACCGUACCAUCGUCCCGAAGGCUAUUUCCGUGACCGUGUGACGCAUCAGUUUUUGGUACCGUACCAUCGUCCCGAAGGCUAUUUCCGUGACCGUGUGACGCAUCAGUUUUUGGUAUCAGAGCCGAACGUUCCUAAGGUUGUAUCUAUCCUUCUUAGUUCUCUUUGUGUUGUUUACUGUUGUUUCAUUUCAAAAAAAAAAAAAAAAAAAAAGGUUUGCUUUCCUUGUGUUCAUCGCCUUCCCUUCUUGUUUCUCUUAGAAAGUCUUAGUCUUUUUGUGUUUUAGUAUCACUUUGGGUUAAAAGCUUGAGUUUUGCUUCGGGUUUUUGUUUCGUGGCCUUGAAAACCACUCGUUUGAAGUCGCUUUUCGUUUUAGCCGGUUUUGGUUUUUUUUUUUUUUCGUGUUCUUCGUGUUCAUCGUGCUUUUCACCGUGUUUUUCAUCUUUUUAGGCUGUUAGAUCUUUAGUUGUUUUGUUCCUUAGUGUUAUCGCUGUAGUUUGGUGGCCUUGAAACCACGUGUAUCGUUUUGGGUCACACGGUUUCGUACCGUUUGUCCUCUAGCGUUUUUGUUUUGGUCUUAGGUUGCUUUUUGUUGCUUUUUGACCGUUCUCUCUCCAAUCAUGAGCUGUCACCUUUGUUGAAAUUGAUUCCAUCUUAUCAACAUAUCGCAACCUUAAAACGCACGUGUUCUUUGUUUGGGACAGGGGGAACGAACCUCGCUAGCCGUACGGACCAAACGGACCACGACAACGACCAUACGUACCAUCGACCACCAGCCGCCGUCUGACAUUUCCCGGAUACCGGAAUCCGUACUAUGGCCGGACAAGACCCACCUAUAGCACCCGCUCCUCCACCCGACCUUGGAGUUAUUCUGACCCAAAUCCAAGCUCAAAUGAGACGGAUUGAUGAUCGGCUUUAUCUCUUGGAGCAAGCUAUACCACCACCCGUGCCCCUUGUACGACGGGUCCGAGACCAAAGACUACCACCAGUCGACGACCAAGAACAAGAUCAAGGUCAAGUUGAGGGACACACGUCGGAUGAAGAAGACCCCGACUAUCCAAGACGAAGAAACAACCGACGGGACAACGAACGACCAAUGGGUCCUAAUCUCACCGGACCCUCCUGCAAGCUUACCGUCCCAACCUUUGCGGGAAAGGUUGACCCGGAGGCCUACCUACAAUGGGAAGGCCGAAUGGACAAGGUUUUCUCUUGUUACAACUACCCGGAGAUACGAAAGGUCAUUAUAGCCGCUGCUCAAUUCACGGACCAUGCCCUUACUUGGUGGGACCGCGACGUCGACGACCGACGACGUAAUCACGAGAGACCCGUGGCCACUUGGGACGCAAUGAAGGCCAUCAUGAGACGCCGAUACAUUCCCCAAUACUUUAGCCGUGACCUACAACGGCGAUUUAGGAAGCUCACUCAAGGAAUAAAAAGCGUUGAGGAAUAUUAUGAGGACUUUGAGCACUUGAGGAACCGUUUACAACUAGAAGAGACCGAAGAGGCUUUGAUGGCCCAAUUCUUAGACGGAUUGAAUGACCGGAUCACAAGGAAGGUUGAACGCCAAUCUUACCAAGGGUUUGAGGAGAUGUUGCACCUAGCCAUCCAAGUAGAACAACAAAUCAAGAAGAAAAUUGCAAGCACCAUCCGGACCAAGGGACAAGAACUUCCAAGUUGGUCGCCUAACGCCUCACCGUCUCAUGGGAACAACCGAGUAGCCGACAAGACCAACCGGGGUACCACCGAACCCAAAGCCGCCCGUAUCGACACAAGAUUCAAGCCCCGAGAGACCACCAAAGACAACCGUCCCGACCCAAGACCUCAACCCUCCGACUCAAGGACCCGAGACAUCAUUUGCUUCAAGUGUCAAGGCCGAGGUCAUUAUGCCCGAGACUGCCCCAACCAACGCACCAUGAUCAUCACCACCGCCGGAGACUAUGAAUCCCAAGACGAAGACGACGCCCCACAAGGCCAAGGCAUUGACUCCGAGAUCGAGGAAGCCAUUGCCGAACCGGAAGUUGGAGAACUUCUCAUGAUCCGCCGUAUGCUAAGCACAAGCCAAGCCAUGGACGACUCCAACCAACGCGACAACAUCUUCCACACCCGGUGCAUGGUAAGUGGGAAGGUUUGUGGCUUGAUCAUAGAUGGGGGCUCUUGCACCAAUGUUGCGAGUUCUUAUAUGGUCAAGAAACUUUCUUUGGCUACCACAAGCCAUCCCAAACCUUAUAAGCUUAAAUGGUUGAACAACAAAUCCGUAAUCCAAGUCUCGGAACAAGUGUUAGUUUCUUUUAGUGUUGGCCCCUACCAAGACCAGGUCUUAUGCGAUGUUGUCCCAAUGCAAGCUAGCCACCUAUUGUUGGGUCGGCCUUGGCAAUUUGAUAAGAAGACAUCGCAUUGUGGCCUUACCAAUGAGUAUACUUUUAUCCAUAAUAGUAAACGGAUUUGCUUAAAGCCUUUGUCACCCACCCAAGUCAAUGAAAUGCAAUCGAAAAUGUCUAGUGAACCUAGCUCUAAGUCGAAUUUCUUGGUUAAUUCUAGUGAUGUUAGGAGAUCACUAUGUGACUCCUCUUGCCAAGUGUUACUAAUGGUCUUUAAAGAUGUUUUGACUAUAGAUUGUGAAGGCAAGGACAUUCCGGAGGAGAUUAAGGCCAUCAUCAAGCGUUUUCAAGAUGUGUUUCCGGAAGAACUACCGCAUGGCUUGCCACCUAUCCGAGGGAUUGAACAUCAAAUAGAUCUUAUUCCGGGAGCUCAAUUGCCAAAUAGACCCGCCUAUAGAGUCAACCCAACCGAAGCUAAAGAACUAGAGAAGCAAGUGGGAGACCUCAUGAAGCAAGGAUAUGUCCGAGAGAGCCUUAGCCCUUGUGCCGUACCAGUUCUCCUAGUACCUAAGAAAGAAGAUCCGGAGUUUGGGGAGAGUUAUAGGGAUCACGGCAAAGGAAUUCACUCACGGUUCUACAUCCAAGACGGGUUUCUCUUUCGGGACAAAAGGCUUUGCAUACCCGCCAGAUCUAUUAGGACCCUACUAAUGCAAGAGUCACAUGGAGGAGGCCUAACCGGGCAUUUUGGGGUUACUAAGACUUUGGAAGUCUUAAAGGAACAUUUCUAUUGGCCUAAGAAGAAGUUUGGCCUCUCCAACGCCCCAUCCACCUUUAUGCGGUUAAUGAAUCACAUCCUUAGACCUUUCAUUAAUAAGUUUGUUGUGGUCUAUUUUGAUGAUAUUUUAAUCUAUAGCCGUAGCCUAGAGGAUCACUUGGUCCAUCUAGAGAUGGUGUUGGUCACACUUCGAGAAGAAAAGCUAUACGCUAACUUCAAGAAGUGUGUCUUUGGUACUAAUGAACUAGUUUUUCUAGGUUUUGUUGUGAGUGAGCAGGGCCUUAGAGUGGAUCAAGAGAAAAUUCGAGCAAUAGAGGAAUGGCCUACACCGACAACCGUUAGUCAAGUGAGAAGCUUUCAUGGUUUAGCAAGUUUCUACCGGCGUUUUGUCAAGGACUUUAGCACUGUAGCCGCACCUCUUACUGCCAUCACUAAGAAGAGUGAAGAAUUCACUUGGGGAUCGAGUCAAGAAGCGUCAUUUCAAGAGCUAAAGAGGAGAUUAACACAAGCGCCUCUCCUAGUUCUACCAAGUUUUGAGAAGACCUUUGAAGUAGAGUGUGAUGCGUCCGGCAUCGGGAUUGGAGCGGUCCUAACCCAAUGAGGCAAACCCGUGGCCUACUUUAGUGAGAAGUUACAUGGCCCUGUCCUCAACUAUCCGACUUAUGAUAAGGAGUGAUGUUUUGACUAUAGAUUGUGAAGGCAAGGACAUUCCGGAGGAGAUUAAGGCCAUCAUCAAGCGUUUUCAAGAUGUGUUUCCGGAAGAACUACCGCAUGGCUUGCCACCUAUCCGAGGGAUUGAACAUCAAAUAGAUCUUAUUCCGGGAGCUCAAUUGCCAAAUAGACCCGCCUAUAGAGUCAACCCAACCGAAGCUAAAGAACUAGAGAAGCAAGUGGGAGACCUCAUGAAGCAAGGAUAUGUCCGAGAGAGCCUUAGCCCUUGUGCCGUACCAGUUCUCCUAGUACCUAAGAAAGAAGAUCCGGAGUUUGGGGAGAGUUAUAGGGAUCACGGCAAAGGAAUUCACUCACGGUUCUACAUCCAAGACGGGUUUCUCUUUCGGGACAAAAGGCUUUGCAUACCCGCCAGAUCUAUUAGGACCCUACUAAUGCAAGAGUCACAUGGAGGAGGCCUAACCGGGCAUUUUGGGGUUACUAAGACUUUGGAAGUCUUAAAGGAACAUUUCUAUUGGCCUAAGAAGAAGCGGAUGGUCGAGAAGUUCGUAGGCCGUUGCAUCACUUGCCGUACCGCCAAGGCCACCCCACGGCCACAUGGCCUCUACAAGCCCCUACCGAUUCCGAAUGCACCAUGGGUCGAGUUAUCUAUGGAUUUCUUGCUUGGAUUGCCUAUCCAAUACCGCAAAGACUCCAUUUUCGUCGUAGUAGACCGAUUUUCCAAAAUGGCUCACUUUAUACCUUGCAACAAGACAUCGGACGCCACGGCCUUAGCCAACUUGUUCUUUCGAGAAGUUGUGAGGCUCCAUGGAAUACCCCGUAGCAUCGUGUCGGAUUGAGACCCCAAGUUCCUUGGUCACUUUUGGAGGACUUUAUGGAGAAAGAUGGGAACUAAGCUACUAUACUCAACCGCGUGUCAUCCUCAAACGGAUGAUCAAACGGAGGUCGUCAACCGAACCUUAGGCGCCUUGAUCCGGACCACCGUGGCAAGCAAUCCGGGCACUUGGUUAGAGCUACUUCCCCUUAUGGAGUUCGCAUACAAUCAGUCCGUUCAUUCGGCAACGAAGAAGUCUCCAUUUGAAGUGGCCUACGGAUUCAAACCUUUAACCCCCGCGAGUUUGCUACCCUUACCACCCAAUGAGAUAGAAUGUCAAGACGGAUUAGCCAAGGCCGAACUGAUCAAGAAGUUACACACCAAAGUCCGGGAAAAUCUAGAAAGAAGAACCGAGCAAUACGCGCGAAAAGCCAACCAACACCGCAAGGCCAUGAUUUUCAAGCCGGGAGAUUGGGUUUGGUUACACUUAAGACCGGAGUGGUUCCCACAACGUAGAAAGGACAAGCUUAGCCCAAGAGGAGAUGGCCCUUUUCAAGUCAUCGAGCGGAUCAACGACAACGCCUACCGCUUGGAGCUACCCGGUACGUAUAACACGUCUACUUCCUUCAAUGUUUCUGAUUUGGUUCCUUUUGAUGUAGGGAAUGAUGAAGGAGUUCUGAGGUCAGAACCUUCCCAAGGGGGAGGGGAUAAUGAGACCCAACCUACCGGACAGCAUACGGACAACGAUCCGGACGAGGGCCGGGACGAGGGACGGAACAUGGACCAACCCGGAACGACCCACGGGACACUACCGGCGACCAAGGUACCUCAAAUCCUUCCGGGAGCUGUCACAAGGUCAAGGGGAGCUGCACGCAAUCUCAGGAUCAAGUGCAAUGCCUUCGCGGAAGAGUUCAUCCAAGUACACGACCCACGGCCAUACGGCCCCAUUGGACUCGACCAUCCGGACGAUCAUGAGCUUGUCCGGACCGUCUUCACCAUCACUAGGUGAAGGCAUCAAAGUCACUAGUUGGACGUGGUACUCUUUUUCCCUACUUGGGUUUAUCCCACGUGGUUUACCAAGAGGGUUUUAACGAGGCCAACGUACGCUAGCGCAUGACCACGCAUCUCCGCAUGACGUGGCCAUCUCUCCUUCCUUUCGUAAUAAAGCCGUUAGGCUCUUCUUGUCUUAUGGUUUGUAUUUUGACACGUCUAUCCUUGUUGACCCGCGCUUUGAC
rnacentral:lncRNA from 1 species